UACAGAGGUCCCAAGCGUUGUUCGGAUUCACUGGGCGUAAAGGGUGCGUAGGUGGUCGGGUAAGUCCGAUGUGAAAUCUCCAGGCUCAACCUGGAAAUGGCAUUGGAUACUAUUCGGCUUGAGGAGUGGAGGGGGGACUGGAAUUCUCGGUGUAGCAGUGAAAUGCGUAGAUAUCGAGAGGAACACCAGUGGCGAAGGCGAGUCCCUGGACAGUUCCUGACACUGAGGCACGAAAGCUAGGGGAGCAAACAGG
rnacentral:rRNA from 1 species